rnacentral:rRNA from 1 species
GAUGAACGCUGGCGGCGUGCCUAAUACAUGCAAGUCGAGCGAACAGACGAGGAGCUUGCUCCUCUGACGUUAGCGGCGGACGGGUGAGUAACACGUGGAUAACCUACCUAUAAGACUGGGAUAACUUCGGGAAACCGGAGCUAAUACCGGAUAACAUGUUGAACCGCAUGGUUCAACAGUGAAAGACGGUCUUGCUGUCACUUAUAGAUGGAUCCGCGCCGCAUUAGCUAGUUGGUAAGGUAACGGCUUACCAAGGCAACGAUGCGUAGCCGACCUGAGAGGGUGAUCGGCCACACUGGAAAUGAGACACGGUCCAGACUCCUACGGGAGGCAGCAGUAGGGAAUCUUCCGCAAUGGGCGAAAGCCUGACGGAGCAACGCCGCGUGAGUGAAGAAGGUCUUCGGAUCGUAAAACUCUGUUAUUAGGGAAGAACAAAUGUGUAAGUAACUAUGCACGUCUUGACGGUACCUAAUCAGAAAGCCACGGCUAACUACGUGC